rnacentral:sRNA from 1 species
CGUGAUACUAAGAACAGAUUGAAAUAC